CAGAGAUGACUCGAAUGUUUUUUGUGUUCACUGUUCCGCCAUUGUUUUAUUUUCGAUUCGAUAGUUCGAUAAUUUUUUGGUGCAAAUUAAACUUUAAAUACAAUCGCCACGAUAUCAAUGAUGGUAAUCCCAUGGACAAUUCCGGCGAAUGGGGGAAGACUAUCUGGUGGAAGCUGCCUCCUGAGAACCUAUAUGACCGCAUCAAAAAAAUACAGCUGGGUGGGCCGAUAAUGAUCUUUCUGAAGCAAAAUCCGCAAUGAGCGAUGUGCAAGUUGAUUUCAUCUUUCUUCCGGACGGCGGAAUAGAAAAAAUAUUCGAAACUUUCAGAAGAAGUUUACGCACAUAUCGUGGCUACAAAAUGUUAUUUAAUUUAUCCGGAAGAUUGUUCAUCAGACCAAAAUUUAUCAGCACACACAGAUUCGAACAUGCAUGUCAUUAUCGAAAGCGUAGAGGAAAUAGUUCUGGUGGUGCUCCAACAUAAUGUCUCGGGCUCCAAGGAACCGUCUCUGAUCCAAAAUGUUCAGACUGGACAUUGUGGACAAUUUUUAUUUCAUCCCAUCGAAUUCAACCAAAUGGCUAUGAUGCUUAUGCGAUGGCGGUUCCGAAUCUUGUCACUUAUUUGAUUUUCAAUGCUCCGUCAACCACUGCAUGUCAUCAUCCAGCCUUCCUGACUCUGGAACGAUAGAAUAGUUCUAAUAAUUUCAUUCAAACACGCAACU